GACGAACGCUGGCGGCGUGCUUAACACAUGCAAGUCGAGCGGUAAGGCCCUUUCGGGGUACGACGAGCGGCGAACGGGUAGGAGUAACACGUGGGUGGACCUCGCCCUCCAGCUCUGGGAGUAAGCCCGGGGAAACCGUAGGGUCGUAAUAACCGGAUAUGACUUCAUGACGCAUGUUGUGGAGUGGAAAGCCUUGUGCGGCU
rnacentral:rRNA from 1 species